rnacentral:rRNA from 1 species
CCCAGACAGGUGCUGCAUGGCUGUCGUCAGCUCGUGUCGUGAGAUGUUGGGUUAAGUCCCGCAACGAGCGCAACCCUUGUCUCUAGUUACCAUCAUUUGGUCGGGGACUCUAGAGAUACUGCCCCGGUUAACGGGGAGGAAGGUGGGGAUGACGUCAAGUCCUCAUGGCCCUUAUGCCCAGGGCUACACACGUGCUACAAUGGGCGGUACAAAGGGUAGCGAUGCCGCGAGGUGAAGCCAAUCCCAAAAAGCCGUCCACAGUUCGGAUUGGAGUCUGCAACUCGACUCCAUGAAGCCGGAAUCGCUAGUAAUCGUGGAUCAGCAUGCCACGGUGAAUACGUUCCCGGGCCUU